CCUACGGGAGGCAGCAGUGGGGAAUUUUGGACAAUGGGCGAAAGCCUGAUCCAGCCAUGCCGCGUGCAGGAUGAAGGCCUUCGGGUUGUAAACUGCUUUUGUACGGAACGAAAAGCCUCUUUCUAAUAAAGAGGGGUCAUGACGGUACCGUAAGAAUAAGCACCGGCUAACUACGUGCCAGCAGCCGCGGUAAUACGUAGGGUGCGAGCGUUAAUCGGAAUUACUGGGCGUAAAGCGUGCGCAGGCGGUUAUAUAAGACAGUUGUGAAAUCCCCGGGCUCAACCUGGGAACUGCAUCUGUGACUGUAUAGCUAGAGUACGGUAGAGGGGGAUGGAAUUCCGCGUGUAGCAGUGAAAUGCGUAGAUAUGCGGAGGAACACCGAUGGCGAAGGCAAUCCCCUGGACCUGUACUGGCGCUCAUGCACGAAAGCGUGGGGAGCAAACAGGAUUAGAUACCCUGGUAGUCCACGCCCUAAACGAUGUCAACUGGUUGUUGGGAAUUCACUUUCUCAGUAACGAAGCUAACGCGUGAAGUUGACCGCCUGGGGAGUACGGCCGCAAGGUUGAAACUCAAAUGAAUUGACGG
rnacentral:rRNA from 1 species